GAACCCACAAUUCAUCAGUCAUCACCCGAGCAACCGAGGUUUAUGCUUCCCAUCUACUGCAAUCUGGUAUUCUCAACUACUCAGAUCUCGGUGAUGAGAAAGGGGACGGCUCGUCGCAGCCCCCAUGGUGGCAGGUGGCAGGGGAGAAAGGGGAGUUUUCAUCGGUGGAGCGACAUCGAUCUCGUCAGGUGAACCGUGAGCGAUGUCGAGGGACUAUAGACGCCGGCGGCAACGGAGGAAGGGGGAGAAGGAGUAAAGUGCUCAGCCGCACACGCUGGCUCUCCCCAGAACUGGCCAUCUAUCUAGCCUGUCUCACCCAUCCCUUUCUUCAUGGUAUUUGCAGGAUGCAAGAUCGAGACACAUCUGAUUGCUGGAGAGUCGAGACCAGGGGCGGAUCUACGGUGUUCCUACCAGUGUCAGCUGACACCGACGCCCUUUUGCAAAUCCUACACGAUGCUAUUUGUUUUUAGCCAAUGACACCAUCGAUGAAAGUUCACUGACACCGGUAGAUUGACCAAUUCACUACAGCUCAUGCAAUUAGCAGGUAAUAAAAACAUGCGUUGUUUUAUGAAAGCAAAACAGUUAUGCUAUUGUUAGCAUUACACGUGCAAACACCCUAUUUUCCUUUAGUUAAUUAAUCAACUUCUCAUAGUUUUGCUAAGUGAUUGUUAGAACUAACUUGCUUGGUUACUUUACUUUGUUCUGAUAUGUUAAACAAUUAGUAAUUUAACCCGGUGAAAUGUGUCAUUACUUCUUUUUAGGUUUAAUAGAUAACAAUGUAGAAUAAUAAGGUAUAGAAAUAGUGCGCAACAGAUAAAAAGCUUACAUGUAUGCAUUAAAUUUUGCAAAAAUGUUUUUUAAUACUUAGAAGACAUGGUAAGUUGCUCGAAUUGUUAUCAAUCAGUGAUAUCUAUUUCUAUGUUGUACUAGUAAUUCACUAAUGUUAGAACACGUGUAGAACAUUAUAGAUAACUAAGCUUCAUAAAUAUAUGAUUUAGAUUUAUGAUUAUGUUGAUAAUAUUGGGAUGAAUUAUUUUGUUCCCAAUCUUUUAUGAAAUACUAUAAAAAUUUAAACCAUUAUAGUUUAACAUAUACACUUCAAAUCCAGUCAUCGAUUAAGGAUCUAGAACUAUAUCAAGCUAGGCUAUAAUAAAAUAUGUUUUACCUAAUGACACCGGUGACUGAAAAUCCUGGAUCCGCCCCUGGUCGAGACACGUAUGAUUGUUGCAUCCUUCUUGUGUACGCAUGGUGAGCACAUCACAAGAACCCAAAGGAACCCUUUUUGUGGUUUAUGUACUGUUUGACUAAAUUCUUCUUCAGUAAGAGUGGAUGGCUUGUUCUCUGUCACAGAUAUGCACAUCAUGUGUUUGAGAAGCUUCACUGUGUACAGUUGCAUGCCAGCUCCGUAAAAGGAAAAUUUUGUCCUUAGACAGAUUAUUGAUGUUUUCUUCACACCUCUCAUACUUUAUCUGAUCACGUGAAAUUGCAAAAUUCUUAUUGCCAACAUGAUCAUCCACAAAAAAAAAACCCUAAAUCUGUGAAUUAGUAGUGCUUAUUGCUUUCAGCUUCAUGCACGCAUUGGGUGAUCACCAUCAACAGAACAGCUUUUUAUGCAGCUAGCCAGUUUUUUCAAGGGGAUUAAGUUGUUGACUCCGACAAGCAGGCAGUAUAUAUGGACCGAUUUGUUCGAUAAAAUCCAGAGUUAUGUCUGAUCAUUACUUAAAGGUCACAACAGAGGGCCAAAAGAGCAAAACCAAUAUAAUACGAGUUGAUUUCUUAUUGCAAAAAAAAUGUUGACUUGUUUGAUAAAACACUAGCUUUGAAGAAUAUUUUGGAUCAGCAUGUUGUGGUUUGUGCAUGAAAGUUCAAAAUAACAUGAGCUAUAUCUUUAAAUUCUGGGAACGAAAUCUUAAGCUACUAUUCUGCAUGUCAUCUAUUUUCUUCCAUGACUUGUUAAGUAAAACAGACAUAUUAUUUUCUAAUGAUGUUCUGAGACAAGAAACUAACACUGCAGCUUUAAGUGUAGAGAAUGAGGCAAAGCAACUCUAUAUCACUAUAUGUGACUGCUCACAAGAUUGUAAAGAUGGACCCACAGGAGAAGAACUCACAGAGCACAUCAUUUGGUGCAAGAUGAUUGAUAGAAGUUGUACUGUCAUUGGCAAGAGUAGUAAGAUCUUUUAGAAGUGCAUGCUCACAUGCAUAUUGGGAAGUUCCUGUUGCAAAAAUAUUUGAUGUUUAACUGUUGACAUAUCCAGUGCAUAUAUAGCAUAUUAUGUUUUUGUUCUAUGGUGUGUGGCUCCAAAGUUUGAUAUGUUACCCAAUGUAUUCGUUCCAUUGUAGGAGUAGUAAUCAUUUAUUCUUCUAUAUGGUGGUGGCGGAUACUGAUAUCCGAUUUGUAUAUCUCAGUCAACUGUAGCUUUCAAUGUUAAGAAAUGUGCCAUUCGAACUAUUUUCCUCCAUUUUCAACAGCAAACUGUGAUAAAUUGCACUUGGGUAGUCCUGAGCACUGUGUUUUUCCAAAAUCUUGUAUUACACUAUUGCUGAUACAGUAAAAUAAAAUACUAUAGAUGUUCUACUGUAGUAUGGAGGAAAUUAUUGUGGUGUGUAGGCACGUUUGGAGGAAUCAUGAAAGCAUGAUGUGUACAGUCAACACUCCACAAACAUGGCGUUAGAUAGUUUACUUUAGAUGGACUUAAAUACUAAUGCUUCUUGCUUCAAUACAUUAUUUGAUUCUUUGGUGCUACAUCGUCUUUCUUCCCCUCUCAAGCAGGUUUGCAAGAAUAUAUUUAAGAUGACUGGGACACUACCACACUGGGUUUCCAAUGGUAUCAAAGGUUAGUGCUACUCUGUUUUUGGUUGACAGAACAGAGGAGAAAGAACAUGAAGCUUAGUAAUAAAAUGAUCUGUCCAAAAACCAAUUAGAAUUCUCCAGUUUCGGAUAUAUAGAGGAUGAAACUAUCAGAUAAUUAUAUUCUUAACAGGAUCAUUGAUAAUCUUGAUGAACAUUAGUACUCCUAAUCUAUUUUUCAGGUGGCAAUUGGCCUCACUUUAAUGCUAGAUCUGUGAGCAACUUUUGUUUGUCUUUGAACUAGUUUAGUAAAGUGGUUACAAAUCAUUGUUUCAAGCAAAACGAUAACCGGUAAGACCCGUGUGAAGUACUGCAAGACAAUGGACAAUAUGGCUAUGUUGUUUCAUGUAUGUUCAUAGUAGCAUUUUAUAUGCUGAAGUAAUAUAUGGUCAAUAUUAUUUCAUUGCAAUUGUGAAGUGUAAUAAUAAAUUUCUUAUGUAGAUUCAAAUUAUCAGUGGCUGAAUUCUGACACUUGAAUCCCACUUCAAGAUCUAAGGAAGUAGCGAAGGAAUUUGCGAAGAUGAUAUAGGAAUAGAUAUAUUGCACAAUUAUCUAGCAGAGCUUGCUGCUGAAAAUGUGUACUUUUUUCUUUUUAAAAGAUAUGCCUAUGAAUUUCUUUGUUACAAGAUGUAAACAAUAAUUCUGUAAAUUUCCUUAUUGAAAUUCAAUAUAUUAUGCGGUAGCGCUAUUCAGCGCACUUGCGCACGGAACAUUGUUUCGAGCACCGCAUGUCAA